GCACUCACAUUGGCAGCACAUAUACUAAAAAUUGGAAUGAUACAAAGAUUAGCAUGGCCCCCAUGCAAGGAUGACAUGCAAAUUUAUGGAGCAUUCCAUAUUUUU
ensembl:snRNA U6 U6 spliceosomal RNA